UUUCCUACGGGAGGCAGCAGUAGGGAAUCUUCGGCAAUGGGGGGAACCCUGACCGAGCAACGCCGCGUGAGUGAAGAAGGUUUUCGGAUCGUAAAGCUCUGUUGUAAGAGAAGAACGUGUGUGAGAGUGGAAACUCACACAUGGGAGUAACUACCAGAAAGGACGCAUUACGG
rnacentral:rRNA from 1 species